rnacentral:lncRNA from 1 species
CGGGCCCGCAGCAGCUUGGGGACCCAGUAAGUGCCCAUGGGCUACCCCUCAAAACACAGUAUCCUGUUCACUGGCGGAGGUGAUGAGUGAAGAACUGGCCAAAGAGCUGCAGUUGGAAGAAGAAGCAGCUGCUUUCCCUGAAGCUGUCGUUGCUGAAGGACCGUUUAUUUCUGGAGAAAACAUGGACACUUCCAGUGACCUGAUGCUGGCUCAGAUGCUACAGAUGGAAUUUGACAGAGAAUACGAUGCACAGCUUAGGCGUGAAGAAAAGAAGUUCAACGGUGACAGCAAAGGUACCAGACCUCUGUCACUCUGACAUUGCCACUGGGUGGUAGGAAAUGCCUGUAUACA